AAGACUAUACUUUCAGGAAUUGUUUCUGUAGUACAUUACUACAGAAUGUUCUCUGAUGUGUAGAGCACAGAAAAUACAAAUAUAAUAAAUUCCAAAUCAGCUAUCUGAGU
rnacentral:snoRNA from 1 species